rnacentral:rRNA from 1 species
UGGGGAAUAUUGGACACUGGGCGAAAGCCUGAUCCAGCCAUGCCGCGUGUGUGAAGAAGGUCUUCGGAUUGUAAAGCACUUUAAGUUGGGAGGAAGGGCAGUAAGCGAAUACCUUGCUGUUUUGACGUUACCGACAGAAUAAGCACCGGCUAACUCUGUGCCAGCAGCCGCGGUAAUACAGAGGGUGCAAGCGUUAAUCGGAAUUACUGGGCGUAAAGCGCGCGUAGGUGGUUCGUUAAGUUGAAUGUGAAAGCCCCGGGCUCAACCUGGGAACUGCAUCCAGAACUGGCGAGCUAGAGUAGGGCAGAGGGUGGUGGAAUUUCCUGUGUAGCGGUGGAAUGCGUAGAUAUAGGAAGGAACACCAGUGGCGAAGGCGACCACCUGGGCUCAUACUGACACUGAAGUGCGAAAGCGGGGGGAGCAAACAGG